rnacentral:tRNA from 1 species
GAAAAAUAAGCUAAUUUUAAGCUAUUGGAUUCAUAAUCCAACUAUAGAUUUCAUCUUUUUUCUAA